GGGAAUUUUACUUUUCUAGACAGCCAGAAUAAUUCCUCCCUUGUAGAUAUCAGAAGCAGACACUGGAAAAGCUGCUUUCUGUGUCUUUCUCAUAGUGCAGGGAUUCUGGGCUCCUUGAUAACUUGGCCAGCCAUCUUGAAUCAAAUGUUAGACAAGUAUUAUUGGCUCUAUCUACUCAGAGAUCAUUUCCAGCUGUUAGCACAACACGAAUAUGAGAUCUUCUAAGCCAAGUAAAGUUGAAAUUUUUAUUGGAUCCCCCAUACAAAGGUUGGAUGCAAUGAUUAAAAGGAAGUGUCAAUCCCCUGUGUUUUGAGGGUGACAGGAUACAGGUAUCAUAACACUGUUAGUGGAAAGGUAACUUGUGCAUACACUUUAGUAGACAGAUUAGCAAUAUGUAUCAAAACCCUCAAAAUGCAUAUAUUUUCCAAUUCAAGGUGGCAGACUGAACACAUGCAUUGGCCUCCCAUUUCUUCAAAGACCUCAUUGAAUUAAAAGUAUGGAAAUAUAGAAUAGAAUAUCCCCUUUAUAUCUGUAUCUCUCAGAAUUCAGCCAGAAAACGUUGAGCCAAAUAGUUCAAUAGAGAGAACUCACCACGGGGAACUACUUAUGAAGGUGUAGGAACAUGUUUAAAAAAAAACAGAUAAAUUAGCAACAUUGGGUGCUACUAUCAGCACCAGGACUAGAAAGACCAAAGAAGAAGUUUAUUACCCCUGGAGCCCAGGAGCCAGGACUAUGUGGCAGGAGCUGGAACCAUGCGAAAAGGGGCUGCUUGGGGUCAGGACAUAUUGGACAAGAUGGAAAAAUGUAGCCACUUCUAGAGAUAUUGCCCAAGGCAGAAAGAGAAGAGAGAAAUAUCCUGCCUUCUCUCUUCUUCCUCCUCCCCAAUAUCCAUUCUAUCAGUCUCCCGCUGGCUGAACCUAGGUGGAAGCCAGUUGGCAUGGACAUGUCAUUUGCAGGAGUCACUCCCCUGUGAUGGAGAGCAGAGCAGAGGAGUGGUGAAUAAUGGCUGAAAGCAAAGCAAAAAGGCAGCUGCCUGGCACAACAGACAGGAGAGCGUGUGGGUGUGUCUGUGUUACUAAAGGGUGAGAUAUUUAAUAACUUCUGGACUACAAAAUAUAGACAGGGGCCAUUAGAAGAAAAGGGCAGAGAAAUCAUCAGCUUGGAGGAGACUCUGUCAGCUCUGUACGUAGAGGAAGAAAGCUAAUCUGCCCCGUGGAACCCCAGAUGCCUUUGGUACAGAGUCAGCAGACAUAACAGAAGGAGAGAGUGAAAGAUGGAGCUAAAAAGAGAGAGAUUACUUAAAGGUCUGAAUAUGUUCUGAAUUCUUCCAGUCAGCACCCCAUCUCCAACAUGUACACCAUGAGCAGGCGGCCAGCAUUUUACCCCCAGGCAAAACAUGAUUACUCCUCUCUAAAAUUAAACAAACUGGGUAAGAUAACAUUUCUAAAUUUGUUGGUGCCUCAAAGGGAAGCCAUUAUCAUUGGGGCAUUUUGCAAGCACUCAGCCUGACAGCCAGUUCUCACUCCAUUGAUCCUCAAUCAGAGUUCACCAGUCAACACUGCCUGACCCAUCCUAGGAAGAAAUUUCAGAAGGGAAGACACCCAUUAGGAAAACAGUGUUAUUCACACAGAAGCAGAAACAUCUAUUCCAUCUACCCAAGCCUCCUUUUUUAAUGACGGAGAGGAAUCACUAGAAUGUAAGGAGAACUAGCAAUAUAAAAAGAGAAAUACCAAUUCUAUAAAACAGAAAAGCAAAAAAGAACUUUAAAAAUCAUCCUUAUGUCCUCAAAAAGAUUCAAGGAAGCAUUACAUCUAC
ensembl:lncRNA